AGGUGCUAUCAUACCAGCACUAAUCCUUCGGAUCCGAUCAGGACUCCGCAAUUAAGCGUACUUGGGCGAGAGAAGUACUAGGAUCGGUAACCUCCUGGGAAGUCCUCGUGUUGCACUUC
rnacentral:rRNA from 2 species